AAAUAUUCUGAACAAAUUAUGUGUUUCGAAUGUAUCAAAACUGUUGUAUGAGGAUGAUACUUCGUUUCUUGACCCUUCAAUUCUGCUGUCCUCGGACUUCAAGGCUUGAUCGAUUGUCUUUUAAUCGUCCAACUCCAUCCGUAGAGACUUGAAUGAAGAGCGAGAGAGGAAAGCAGAAUUGGGAUUAAGAGGGUAUUCGAAGGAGAUGGUAGCGAACUCUUGGAAUGCAGCACUGCCCUGGACUUGACCGAAGCGCAGGGGUGCGGAUCUUGUUCCGAAAAGCUGCUGCAUUGGGAGGAUUGAGGCAGAAUCAGGCAGCCAAGGCAUCAGUAGAUUUCUUCAGAGUGGAAUCCACACUCCGAAUCGGUCGACUCGGCGCGCACCCACCUUUGAAAUGACGAAAUAUAGUGACGGGGAUCGUAACAGAUUAUGAGGUCAUUUUAGGUGUAGAAAUCUAUGUAGAGUUUGGGAUGACCGUUAAAGCAGUGAGUCAAACUCAAAAGUCUGCCUUGUUUGUACGGGUCCUCCUAUUAAUACUUUGAGUCUUACACAAGUUAGUGGUGGAGGCUGCUGUGAAUCUGGGACUCACUCUACGAACAGAUGUCAUAUUGGAGUUUUAGUGCGACAGAAAGCAUUACUUUCACCCUCAUUUGGCAAAGGGUUACCAGAUCUCGCAAUUUGAUAUUCCCGUCGUUGAGAAUAGCUAAAUGCAUAUAUCCUUUCUUGGGGAAUUUGUCAGUGGCCAGUGCUGGUUAGGAAUUACCUGGGUCCGUCUGGAAGUAACCAUUGGCAAAUUGACUCCCGCAGUUUAUAACAGGCUUUUCGGAUUCUUCUCGUCACGGGUGAUCUCGGAGUCGGAGGUGCGAACUGGACUUGAGGCAGCUGAGUAUGCGCAGAAUGACAGUUGAUUGUAUGACACUUGGGUGUCAGCAAUAGUAACAUCCAGGAGUUUUGCCAAAUCUUAUCCAGAAACAGGGAUCAAUGUGCUGCAAUGUCAAUAUUUCUAUGCAACCGAGGGGUUGACCCCAAUUUGGAACCGAGGUUUUGCCAAGUUUUAUCGAGAAGGAAGCUGUGCAAACGAAAUAGUAGAAUCAGAGAGUCUCGGCCAGGGACUUUCUGAAGAUGAGCAGUUCAUUCCUUUCCCAAGACGUUUCUGUCUAGCAUGAGCUCCUUCAAAUAGUUAAUAUCUUUCUGCGCUGCAUUGUUGCAUUCUACACAUGCCAGGCAAUGAAGGCAUCGAGUGUAAGAGUGAACCCAGGUCUAAUCAACAAUUUCCUGCUGCCUAAGCUGAACGGCUAGUGCUUUUUCAGCAUGUUCUCUUGUGAUUUUGAAUCAAGGACCAUUUUGUAACUGGCAACAGCAAUGCACACCGCAUUCUCUAAGCGAGCAGUGGAUUUCUAUUCAAGAGGUAUGUUCCACCUGCAUUACUCUUGGAUAUUUGACUCGGGCACUAUUCAAAGGUUUUGCGACAGGUUGGUGGAUAUCAAGCAGCAUGAUUUGUAAGAAUUUGCUCCAAUUGACCUUCGAGAACCACGAGGACUUGAAAUUGAAGUGAGUCCCAGCUCUACUCUGCAAAAACUUACCGGGUUUCUGCUCAUUUCAUCUAUGAAGUCAAAAUUUCCAUAUGUUGUGGCUAUUUGACACCUUGGAUCACGAAGCAUUAACUACCAAUGGGAGUAGGGUUUCCUUUCAAAUCUGGAAGGUCAUACGACAUCAAGCACCAAUAUGAGAGCGCUCCUGUUCCUAUUUGGAAUAUCCCUCAGAUUGUUCCUGUGCUUCAACGUUAGCUCACCUCAUUAAAUUUUGAAGGAUAGAAGCAUAUCAACGUAUGUUCCAGAAUUGAAGAGAGGGUCCACAUCCGAUGGCAGUUGAUGUUAUACAUUUCUGAAUUCUGUAUUAUAUUGGUUGAUUCAUAGUCAACCGGGUCUUGCUGAAAUCAUCCAGGUCUGUGGGAAGGUUCUACAUCUAUCAUUUUCAUGAAUAUGAUAUAGUCUUAAUUUAUUUUAUAAAACCAUAGCAGAUUGUAUUAUCCGCAUGAUCGAUUGGCAGUCUUUGACCUUUUCCACAUCUUGUUACUUUCAUAGUAGUCACACUUGAACUUUAUGUACUUGUCCAUGCAAUGAUGAUUCAGUGGUUUUACGUGAUUGAUGUUAAUAAAUUAUUAUUUUUGGAAGUCUAUCAGCUUAUCGCACUUGUGUAUUGAUACGACUAAUUCUUUGUCCUAGUCGGGUUCUGCAGAGUGGACGAUUAUUCGGAUAUGAUUCCAAGCCUUCUAAUCGCUUAAUCAUUUCAAGCAGUUGCUAUACAGGGGUGAAGUCGCUUGUAGAACCCUAAUCCACAAGAAUCCUGUAGUGGUGCUAGCAUGCACAGUAUCAAUUUGAUUAUUCUGCGCAGCUCAACCAGUUCGCCGCGAGAAUAAAGCAUCCUAUGAGAUCUAUACAACUGGAAUCGUGAUAGAUGAGAUACUCGGCAUUCACCUCCUUUCUCCAAAUUGACUAUUCUCUUUCCACCUUUAUCUGCUACUCAGUGUUAGACAGCUGAUGGACAAUUUUAUGAUAAUAUCUGGACUAAGGCUGCCUCAUGAGAUUGCACCUCGCUCCACCACGAAAGCAGAUGCAACCAAUAUCCUAUGUGGGCGGUCUCUAUGCACCUCCUCCUGAUGGAAAAUGUCUGAGCUUCUGACACAUCGACCCGAACUAAAGAGUCUAAUUCGCCUGUUAACCAAGCAGCGCCUUCGCCUUUUUGAAGAAUUUGACACAUUCUAUGACCACGUCCUGUUGCCGACCAUCUUACUGUUCACACUCAAGUGGAGAACUUGACCAUAUCUCGUCUCAUUGGGCUUGCUUGUUUUCUUGCAGGGCUAGAAACGUCGAAAAUGGGAAGAAAACUUCGCGUCCUCACGCUUAUGUGUUGCUCAGCACGUUGUGGAGAGCGGAAACAUUCUUUUGCGCCAAAUCGCCCUUACUGGCUGAGCAAUUGUGGAGAUGAGUGCAGGAGACAUAGGGUAUGGAUUUAAGCCUCUGAAAAGUCAGCAUCUGAGUAGACGCAGGGUCAGGUCAGUCGCCCAAGCGGUCAGAAAGGCCGACAUAAACCUUCUUAGAUCACAGGCCAUGCACUCACCCAUACCUUGGCCCAUUGUGAAGACCUGUCUUGCACCUAUUCCAUUAACUGCUGGAUUGUGUCAAAGUAGCUGAGAAUGGGUCCAGCUCAGGGGGGCUCCGCAGCAGCAGCAGCAGCAGUAGGCAGCACACUACUGUCUGUUCAAGUGUUCAAACGCCUAUACUCUUUAGUGUCGCUGAAAAGUUCAGUAAAUGCUCCAGAUAGCUGUAAACAAUUUUGCCCUGUCUA